rnacentral:rRNA from 1 species
UACGGAGGGGGCUAGCGUUGUUCGGAAUUACUGGGCGUAAAGCGCGCGUAGGCGGACCUGCAAGUCGGGGGUGAAAGCCCGAGGCUCAACCUCGGAACUGCCUUCGAUACUGCGGGUCUCGAGUCCGGGAGAGGUGAGUGGAAUUCCCAGUGUAGCGGUGAAAUGCGUAGAUAUUGGGAGGAACACCAGUGGCGAAGGCGGCUCACUGGACCGGAACUGACGCUGAGGCGCGAAAGCGUGGGGAGCAAACAGG